rnacentral:rRNA from 1 species
GUGGGGAAUAUUGGACAAUGGGCGCAAGCCUGAUCCAGCCAUGCCGCGUGCAGGAAGACGCAUCUAUGGUGUGUAAACUGCUUUUGUACGGGAAGAAACACUCCCUCGUGAGGGAGCUUGACGGUACCGUAAGAAUAAGGAUCGGCUAACUCCGUGCCAGCAGCCGCGGUAAUACGGAGGAUCCAAGCGUUAUCCGGAAUCAUUGGGUUUAAAGGGUCCGUAGGCGGUUUAAUAAGUCAGUGGUGAAAGCCCAUCGCUCAACGAUGGAACGGCCAUUGAUACUGUUAGACUUGAAUUACAAGGAAGUAACUAGAAUAUGUAGUGUAGCGGUGAAAUGCUUAGAUAUUACAUGGAAUACCAAUUGCGAAGGCAGGUUACUACUUGUGGAUUGACGCUGAUGGACGAAAGCGUGGGGAGCGAACAGGAUUAGAAACCAUUGUAGUCC